GGGCGGUUAGCUCAGUUGGUUAGAGCACUACCUUGACAUGGUAGGGGUCACAGGUUCGAAUCCUGUACCGCCCACCA
rnacentral:tRNA from 1 species